ACUACGGGGGGCAGUAGUGGGGGAUAUUGAACAAUGGGGGGAACCCUGAUGCAGCGACGCCGCGUGGGUGAAGAAGCGCCUCGGCGCGUAAAGCCCUGUCAGCAGGGAAGAAAAUGACGGUACCUGAAGAAGAAGCCCCGGCUAACUACGUGCCAGCAGCCGCGGUAAUACGUAGGGGGCAAGCGUUAUCCGGAUUUACUGGGUGUAAAGGGGGCGCAGACGGCGAUGCAAGCCAGGAGUGAAAGCCCGGGGCCCAACCCCGGGACUGCUCUUGGAACUGCGUGGCUGGAGUGCAGGAGGGGCAGGCGGAAUUCCUGGUGUAGCGGUGAAAUGCGUAGAUAUCAGGAGGAACACCGGUGGCGAAGGCGGCCUGCUGGACUGCAACUGACGUUGAGGCCCGAAAGCGUGGGGAGCAAACAGGAUUAGAUACCCCUGUAGUC
rnacentral:rRNA from 1 species